rnacentral:rRNA from 1 species
UUGAACGCUGGCGGCAGGCCUAACACAUGCAAGUCGAGCGGUAGCACAGAGAGCUUGCUCUCGGGUGACGAGCGGCGGACGGGUGAGUAAUGUCUGGGAAACUGCCUGAUGGAGGGGGAUAACUACUGGAAACGGUAGCUAAUACCGCAUAAUGUCGCAAGACCAAAGUGGGGGACCUUCGGGCCUCAUGCCAUCAGAUGUGCCCAGAUGGGAUUAGCUAGUAGGUGGGGUAACGGCUCACCUAGGCGACGAUCCCUAGCUGGUCUGAGAGGAUGACCAGCCACACUGGAACUGAGACACGGUCCAGACUCCUACGGGAGGCAGCAGUGGGGAAUAUUGCACAAUGGGCGCAAGCCUGAUGCAGCCAUGCCGCGUGUGUGAAGAAGGCCUUCGGGUUGUAAAGCACUUUCAGCGGGGAGGAAGGCGGUGAGGUUAAUAACCUCAUCGAUUGACGUUACCCGCAGAAGAAGCACCGGCUAACUCCGUGCCAGCAGCCGCGGUAAUACGGAGGGUGCAAGCGUUAAUCGGAAUUACUGGGCGUAAAGCGCACGCAGGCGGUCUGUCAAGUCGGAUGUGAAAUCCCCGGGCUCAACCUGGGAACUGCAUUCGAAACUGGCAGGCUAGAGUCUUGUAGAGGGGGGUAGAAUUCCAGGUGUAGCGGUGAAAUGCGUAGAGAUCUGGAGGAAUACCGGUGGCGAAGGCGGCCCCCUGGACAAAGACUGACGCUCAGGUGCGAAAGCGUGGGGAGCAAACAGGAUUAGAUACCCUGGUAGUCCACGCCGUAAACGAUGUCGAUUUGGAGGUUGUGCCCUUGAGGCGUGGCUUCCGGAGCUAACGCGUUAAAUCGACCGCCUGGGGAGUACGGCCGCAAGGUUAAAACUCAAAUGAAUUGACGGGGGCCCGCACAAGCGGUGGAGCAUGUGGUUUAAUUCGAUGCAACGCGAAGAACCUUACCUGGUCUUGACAUCCACAGAACUUUCCAGAGAUGGAUUGGUGCCUUCGGGGACUGUGAGACAGGUGCUGCAUGGCUGUCGUCAGCUCGUGUUGUGAAAUGUUGGGUUAAGUCCCGCAACGAGCGCAACCCUUAUCCUUUGUUGCCAGCGGUUAGGCCGGGAACUCAAAGGAGACUGCCAGUGAUAAACUGGAGGAAGGUGGGGAUGACGUCAAGUCAUCAUGGCCCUUACGACCAGGGCUACACACGUGCUACAAUGGCAUAUACAAAGAGAAGCGACCUCGCGAGAGCAAGCGGACCUCAUAAAGUAUGUCGUAGUCCGGAUUGGAGUCUGCAACUCGACUCCAUGAAGUCGGAAUCGCUAGUAAUCGUAGAUCAGAAUGCUACGGUGAAUACGUUCCCGGGCCUUGUACACACCGCCCGUCACACCAUGGGAGUGGGUUGCAAAAGAAGUAGGUAGCUUAACCUUCGGGAGGGCGCUUACCACUUUGUGAUUCAUGACUGGGGUG